GUGAAUCAUCAAAUCUUUGAACGCAAAUUGCACUCUCUUCGGAGAGUAUGCCUGUUUGAGGGUCAGCCUAAAAAAAAAUCGCAACAGUCGUUGUUCCGGGGUGACUUUCGCGGGAAAUUGGGUCAUUUUAACCCUUUGGGUUUUAAGGGGACUAAAAUUUUUUUUUUGAUUUCAAGAAAGUUUUCAAAGUUUUAUUUCUAUACGCUUAUGGUAUAGAUAUUUUUUUUACGCGG
rnacentral:misc_RNA from 1 species